rnacentral:ncRNA from 1 species
UUUAUUUUUUUGUUAGUUGCUUCAUGGUGAAGCUGAGCUUAAAGAUACACGGAUAAUCGGGAAGUUGGUGUUUAAGCAUGAAGCUUAUUAAAUCCAACGCUGCCCCCGCAACGGUGAUGUGGUUGCCUUUGAUUAGAACAAGCACUCAGCCCGGAGACCGGCCAGUUGGUUUUCACUAAC